rnacentral:tRNA from 1 species
CGUGAGCAGAGUUUACCACAAAACAUUAAGCUGUGGACUUAAAAUUAAAGACUACUCUUUUGCCCACC